GAUGAAGAACGCAGCGAAAUGCGAUACUUGGUGUGAAUUGCAGAAUCCCGUGAACCAUCGAGUCUUUGAACGCAACUUGCGCCCGAAGCCAUUAGGCCGAGGGCACGCCUGCCUGGGCGUCACACGUCGUUGCCCCCCCAUCUACUCCUUCGGGAUUGCGGGGGGCGGAUGAUGGCCUCUCGUGCGCCUCGUCGCGCGGUUGGCCUAAAUGCCAAGUCCUCGGCGACGCACGCCACGACAAUCGGUGGUUGCGAAACCUCGGUUGCCUGUCGUGUGCGGUCGUCGCGCAUCGAGGGCUCGAAAAAAUUGCCGGGCUUCGGCUCGACUUUCAACGCGACCCCAGGUCAGGCGGGGUUACCCGCUGAAUUUAAGCAUAUCAAUAAGCGGAGGA
rnacentral:misc_RNA from 1 species